rnacentral:rRNA from 1 species
GAUCAUGGCUCAGGAUGAACGCUAGCGACAGGCUUAACACAUGCAAGUCGAGGGGCAGCGGGGAGUAGCAAUACUCUGCCGGCGACCGGCGCACGGGCGAGUAACGCGUAUCCAACCUGCCUUACACUCUUGGACAGCCUUCUGAAAGGGAGAUUAAUACAAGAUGUUAUCAUGAGUAAGCAUUUUCGCAUGAUUAAAGGUUUACCGGUGUAAGAUGGGGAUGCGUUCCAUUAG